rnacentral:lncRNA from 12 species
UUAGGCGAAACUCAAUAAGCUCCCAGCCCUCCCGCCGGACGCUUCCACCAUCGCCGCCACCAACGGGCCACUCCGAACGAGCCAGCAUCGCUGCCCAGCCGCGGGCGGGCCGGAGUCGCGCCCAUCCUCCGCAGCCGGGCGGGGACCGGCAUCCCGCCCCCUCGGCCCCCGUCUCCCCCUUGCAGCUCGGUGCAAAGUCAGAGCCCCGGCGAGGCGAGGCGACGUUAACUUUUGCAUACGGGGCGCACACGCACACGCACACACACACACACGCACACGCACACACACCGCCCCCGGCCCCGGGCGUGCGGGGGCCCCCGCGGCGCGGCGGGAGGCUGGGCGCCGAGCUCCCGGGCCAAGGUCGCGGCGCGUGCUCACCAUGUCCCGGCGGCUGCGGCUCCGCUGGCCCCGGCGCUCGCUCAGAUCCCGGCUCCCGUCGCUCGCCCGAGCCCCCGAAGGAAAUGAGAAGUUAAUUUCCACUCCUGAUUACUCCCACCCCAGCCCCACUUUGGAAAGGGAUCUUCUCUCCAGUGGCUUCCCUGAUGCUACUGCAGUUGCUAAGCAACAUGGAGCUAAGCAGAAGCAAAAUGUAAUUGUCCCAGGAAGGGAAUUCCAGGUCUACAAAGGCUGGAUUGUAGUUUGGGAAACUGCCUUCCUGGCUGCAAGAAAUUCAGUAAAAGAAGCAUUCUUGGCAUGUGGUUCCUCAUGGAUGCUCCAAGAGAGUGGUUUUUGAUACUUGAAAGGCAACAAGAAGCCAAAAGGAGAUCCCGGAGAAAUACUACAAGGAGGUGCCGGCUCUUCAUUCCCCUCUAAGAAUCUACCUACUUGGGCCAUACCGGGCAGAG